CAACUGAUCAUAAAGGUAUCUGGCCUCAGAUAUGCUGCAGGCUUGGAACGUUACCUGUUUAAGAAUCCCAAGUUAUUAAACAACAACACAAAAUCAGUACCAUCCUCCACAAGGAGCCAAGUCUGAGAAGGAAGGUGGUUGGUCAUGGCAUGUGAUGGUCAUUCCGUUGAUGACAACAUUGAACACAGGAGUUUUAAGAGCUGUCUCGGAUGAAUUUUGCUAGAAAAUGGCUUUAAUCAUGUUCACAUCUACUAUAAAUAAGAACUAGAUUAACAAUGAAGUUCAGCCAGGCGUUUCCUCUUCCACUGACUUAUUUCCUUCUACAGCUGCCCAUCCACAUCUGUGGGCUUGUAUACAUUUUGGUACAAAAGGGGGAUCUGGAGAUGCGAAGGACAGGUUUCAGAGUUCACUGGUGGCACAGUGGGGGAUAGCUCGGAAGGGGGCAGGACUGGAGGAAGGAAGAGAGGGCAGUUAAAACACUGCAACUGUCCAGGAAAAAACUGAGGAAGUCUGGUGGGAAGAGGCACAGCAGGGCCAAAGCAGGCCUGGUGACCAGUGGGCACAGCGGAGUGAGGAGUGACCUGGGUUUUGGCCUUGGUGCUCCUCGGACAGAUGGGAAGCAGCGGCGCCAAGACACAAUGGGCUUAUGAGGCCAAGGAAGAGCGGAACAGCCCUGUAAGCGGCUUGGUCUCCAGGGCUGGGGCCAGGAAGAAAAAUCCGAGCUGGAGAAGUAUUUGGGGAGUAGGCCCAGAUGAUGUACUAAGAAGGGCAGAUUGCCCAGGAAGCCCGCACAAGACGGGUAAGUAGGACUUAAGAGUUAGGCAGAGAAGGAGAUCACGUAAUUGAUUAGUGCAAAUCCUCUUAAAGCAAUUACCCAAAGAAACCAAAAAAAAAAAAAAAAAAAGUGCUGCCCUCUGCAGGGCUGGGGCAGCGGAAGGGGCAGGGAACGCAAUUGUGGUUGUGUUGGCACAUUUGUAAUAACUGCAAACUGGGAACAGUUCUCAUGUUCUGUUGUUAUUUAAUAAUGACAGUUUGGAUUUUGUGUUGGUGCAGUAAAUAAUUUAAGUGCUUAAUAGUUGAACUAGAAGCUGAGUGAAUGUUUACUAUUCUAAUCGCAACCUGUUAGUUCCAGUAGUUUUAGCCAGGUCUCAACUUUGCUUUUUUUUGUUUUGUUUUGGCUUUUGUUUAAAUGGCAGAGGACUUCUGUUGGAGACUCAAGGGUCUAACCGCUGAAUUCAUGGCAUUUCACGUCAGUGUGGUGACUGACUACUACAGAAAACGAUGAUUCAGACCAUUUACUGUGUCCUGACUUUCCUACCAUUUCUAUGUGAAUUAUUAAGUCAGCGCUAUAUUUUAAUUAAAACAUAAUGAUAGGUACCCAGCCAUUACAAAUUAAUUCAACACACGGAGAAGAGCUGUGUCACAGGUGUAAAGGAGCAAGAAUGUCAAAGGUGAAAACAGAAAUUGAGAAGAACUGACAGGUCACUAAUAACCCAAACCAGGGCAGUUUCUGCCAAGAGGUGGGAAUGCAGAAAUCAGCUUGUCUGUGGGUAAGAGUUAAAUGAGAAGUGGGGGAGAUGGCGAGCAGAGUAUUCACAGGCUUAUCUGCUGUGACCCCACCCCUAAAGUGUAAGCCCUAGGAGGGCAGGGGUCUGCCUUGCGGUUCUCUAUCCCCAGUGUGUAGAACAGGGUCUGACACCCACUUAGUCCUUAAUAUUUAUUAAGUGAGUAGAGUAUCUUGAAGGAAAGAGGGUGCUAAAAAGGAGAACACAGGAGCAAAGAUAAGUUUUAUUUUUAUAAAAUGGUGGGAUACUUGAAAACCUGACCCUAUAGCCCAAACUUAUAUGGAUUGAGAUCAGGAAUACCUAAAUGUUCCCCCAAGUGGAAGCCCUGCUGAAUGCUUUUGUACAUACAUCUCUUAGUUUAUUUAGGUCCUUUUUUGAGUUACUCUUAGCUAUUUUAGAGUCUGUUAUUUUUGUUUUUAAGAAGAUCCUAUGAUAAGCAUUUUUCCUUUUCAGGUUUUUGAUUGGCUUCUCUUAGAUGGCCUAGUAUAUACUAGACAAUUCACAGGCAAAUUCUGAAAAAGUCAACCCUAGAAAAAUAUGCUUAAGAAAACUGGCAAUUGGAAUUCAAUAGCCGAGUUAGAACAGUGAUACGACUUAGUUAUUCUAAGUAUAUUUAGUAACUAGCUUCUUUACCCCAGGGCUGAUUGAGCCAUUGAGACAUCACUGUGGUAAAGGCUUUAAUGGGGGAAGAAAAAAAAGAGUUCUUAACACCUUAAAAAGAUAUGAAUAUAUGAACGGUUUUGGAUUCUGGUAUCCUUUUAAAGUAUCAUAUAAAGAAAAGAAGCAAUGUCACUAGGAAACUGAUGAGGGAAAAAAAAAGAGAAAGUAUGAAAAAUUGAUGUUAGAAACCUAAAUAUCUAAAAUUUGUCCAGAACCCAGUGUCGAAGCCAUAGGAUUUUCUUGGGGGGGCGGGGGGAAGCCUAUCACAAUAUGCAUGAACUUAUUAAAUGAUUCCUGCAAAGUCCCCCACCAAGAGUCAAGAAUUUGAAUAUAGUUGAAGUACUUUUUGUUCUGUACAGUAAGAUGCUCACUAACCUUAAAAAACAAACAAACAAAAACUUUGAAACCAUUUUUUUUUUGCCUUAUUGUAAUAAGUAGUUUCUAGUGUUCCACUUAAGAGAUAAAGCAGAGAUUUCUGUGGUGAUUGAUGGAAUUUGUCUCAUUUACCAUAUACUUACAUUAUCUGUGCUAAAGACUUUUAAGUGGAGUAUUGAAAGUGGGGUGGCUGGACACACCACUGAGAAAAAGAAAACAACCUUAAACCCAUGACAAAGCUUAAACUGGAUGGAAAACUGUAUCUACAAGCAAUAAAAAUGUAAACUACCUAC